UCAAUGUAGCCCCCUGAGCACACUUGAAAAGUAGAGGAAAGUUUGUUUGGCUCUUUAGUGUAGAACAACAUCUAGACUGUAUACGCAAGAUGAAGAUUCUUCUAGCUUUCACACUCUUAAUCAGCAUUUAUGUUGUGUCAUCCGAAUACUGUAACCACGACAGCGAUUGUAAAUUAACUGUGUGUGGAGCUAACUUCACCCUAGAUUGUUACGGACGUGGUGACAACGUCUGCACGUGCAUACCAAACAACAGCAACAGUUACAGUUGCACAGGUGAUGGAUCCUCAUCAUGCAAGGCUGCACACGGAGACUGUAACCAUGGAGACCACCGCUGGCAUUGCUAUGACGGACGUUGCCGGUGCUCAAUUUUUGGUUGAUAAUACACAUAGCCUGAAGGAAACCAGUCGAUCCGUUACUUUAAUACAUUUGAAUUGAAAUAAAACUGUCAGAAAUUUU